rnacentral:rRNA from 1 species
GACGAACGCUGGCGGCGUGCUUAACACAUGCCAGUCGAACGGAAAGGCCCUGCUUUUGCGGGGUGCUCGAGUGGCGAACGGGUGAGUAACACGUGAGUAACCUGCCCUUGACUUUGGGAUAACUCCAGGAAACUGGGGCUAAUACCGGAUAGGAGCUCCUGCUGCAUGGUGGGGGUUGGAAAGUUUCGGCGGUGGGGGAUCGACUGGCGGCUUAUCAGCUUGUUGGUGGGGUAGUGGCUUACAAAGGCUUCGACGGGUAGCCGGCCUGAGCGGGUGGCCGGCCACAAUGGGACUGCGAGACGGCCCAGUCGCCUACGGGAGGCAGCAGUGGGGAAUAUUGCACAAUGGGCGCAAGCCUGAUGCAGCGGCGCCGCGUUCGGGAUGACGGCCUUCGGGGUGUAAACCGCUUUCGCCUGAGACGAAGCGUUAGUGACGGUAAUGGGUAAAGAAGCACCGGCUAACUACGUG